AACGAACGCUGGCGGCAUGCCUAACACAUGCAAGUCGAACGAGACCUUCGGGUCUAGUGGCGCACGGGUGCGUAACGCGUGGGAACCUGCCCUUAGGUUCGGAAUAACUCCCCGAAAGGGGUGCUAAUACCGGAUAAUGUCUUCGGACCAAAGAUUUAUCGCCUUUGGAUGGGCCCGCGUUGGAUUAGCUAGUUGGUAGGGUAAAAGCCUACCAAGGCGACGAUCCAUAGCUGGUCUGAGAGGAUGAUCAGCCACACUGGGACUGAGACACGGCCCAGACUCCGACGGGAGGAAGCAGUGGGGAAUAUUGGACAAUGGGCGAAAGCCUGAUCCAGCAAUGCCGCGUGAGUGAUGAAGGCCUUAGGGUUGUAAAGCUCUUUUACCCGGGAUGAUAAUGACAGUACCGGGAGAAUAAGCGCCGGCUAACUCCGUG
rnacentral:rRNA from 1 species